rnacentral:rRNA from 1 species
UACGGGGGGGGCAAGCGUUGUUCGGAAUUACUGGGCGUAAAGGGCUCGUAGGUGGCCAACUAAGUCGGACGUGAAAUCCCUCGGCUUAACCGGGGAACUGCAUCCGAUACUGGAUGGCUUGAGUUCGGGAGAGGGAUGUGGAAUUCCAGGUGUAGCGGUGAAAUGCGUAGAUAUCAAGAGGAACACCUGAGGUGAAGACGGGUUGCUGGGCUGACACUGACGCUGAGGCGCGAAAGCCAGGGGAGCAAACGGG